UCUUCCCUCUGGCGGCGUGCCUAAUACAUGCGAGUCGAGCGAACAGACGAGGAGCUUGCUCCUCUGACGUUAGCGGCGGACGGGUGAGUAACACGUGGAUAACCUACCUAUAAGACUGGGAUAACUUCGGGAAACCGGAGCUAAUACCGGAUAAUAUAUUGAACCGCAUGGUUCAAUAGUGAAAGACGGUUUUGCUGUCACUUAUAGAUGGAUCCGCGCCGCAUUAGCUAGUUGGUAAGGUAGCGGCUUACCAAGGCAACGAUGCGUAGCCGACCUGAGAGGGUGAUCGGCCACACUGGAACUGAGACACGGUCCAGACUCCUACGGGAGGCAGCAGUAGGGAAUCUUCCGCAAUGGGCGAAAGCCUGACGGAGCAACGCCGCGUGAGUGAUGAAGGUCUUCGGAUCGUAAAACUCUGUUAUUAGGGAAGAACAAAUGUGUAAGUAACUAUGCACGUCUUGACGGUACCUAAUCAGAAAGCCACGGCUAACUACGUG
rnacentral:rRNA from 1 species